AUGAUGCUCGUCACCUUCUCCGCGUUCGUGCCCACGACCAUGGUGGCGUUCCGCGCGGCGGGCGCGUCGUGCGCUGGCACCACCGGCACGUGGGGGCUGAGCUCACAGACAGUGCCUUUCAUGGGGCUGUACCUUGUGGCGAUCGGGUGCGGCGGGGUGCGGUCAUCGUUGCUGCUGUUCGGAACAGAGCAGUUCGACGAUGACAGCGCGGCGGACCGGGAGGGCAAGGCAUCCUUCUUCAGCUGGUUCUACCUCUGCGUGAGCUUCGGCCCCAUCAUCUCUGGCGUGUUCCUUGUCUGGAUCCAGCAGAACGUCAGCUGGGGCCUCGGCUUCGGCAUCACCACUGCCUGCAUCGCGCUCGCCUUCGUGCUAACCACGCCCAUGUACAAGCGUCGCAUGCCUGCCGGCAUGCCGCUCAAGAGCCUCUGCCAAGUCGUCCUUGCCGCGUGCAAGGAUCAGAGUCAAGGUGCCAGCCAAAGGCGGACACCUCUAUGA
rnacentral:rRNA from 1 species